rnacentral:rRNA from 1 species
CCUACGGGUGGCAGCAGUGGGGAAUAUUGCGCAAUGGUCGAAAGCCUGACGCAGCGACGCCGCGUGAGGGAUGAAGGUCUUCGGAUCGUAAACCUCUGUCAGCAGGGAAGAACGGUCACUGAGCUAAUCGGCAGUGAAUUGACGGUACCUGCAAAGGCAGCACCGGCUAACUCCGUGCAAGCAGCCGCGGUAAUACGGAGGGUGCGAGCGUUAAUCGGAAUUACUGGGCGGAAAGCGCGCGUAGGCGGUAUGUCAAGUCAAGGGUGAAAUCCCCGCGCUCAACGUGGGAACUGCCGUUGAAACUGGAAAACUGGAGUGUGUGAGAGGAUAGUGGAAUUCCAGGUGUA